AAGUGAGUCUUCCGAAGGCGGCCACUGCCAAGGCCGGCCUCUGCGGUGCGUAGGCGUGAAGACAGGCCACGCAUCCCGAGGGGUCAGCAGGUCAAAGGGGCAAGUGGGGAACCCGGGAUUCGGCUGGCUCGGCUGGAAUCCGGGGUGCACGCAGAGGUAAUGGCUUGAUUCAAAAUUCACCAAGACAACUCUCCUCAUCUGCACAUACCUGAAGGCCGAUAAACCUUGCAGAGCAGA